rnacentral:rRNA from 1 species
AUAGCGUAUAUUAAUGUUGUUGCGGUUAAAAAGCUCGUAGUUGGAUCUCGGUUUCGGGCGAGCGGUGCGCCUUGCGGCGUCUACUGCCUGCCCGGACGAUUUUGCUGGUUCGUUCCUGGUUCUCUUAACCGAGUGCCAGGAGUGGCCAGCACGUUUACUUUGAAAAAAUUGGAGUGCUCAAAGCAGGCGCUACAGCCUGAACAUUAGUGCAUGGAAUAAUGGAAUAGGACCUCGGUUCUAUUUCGUUGGCUUUCGGAGUCGAGGUAAUGAUUAAUAGGGACAGACGGGGGCAUUCGUACUGCGACGUUAGAGGUGAAAUUCUUGGAUCGUCGCAAGACGAACUACUG